rnacentral:misc_RNA from 1 species
GGCCCUCGUCCCUCUGUCUCUAAAAGUGGGUAUCCCUCAACUUUAUCGAGUGGAAUUGAUUUGUCCAUAAAUAAUGGAUUUUAUUAUAGAUGAGCUUCAAUGGUCGAAGGUGUUUUGGAUCUGCAUAUCUUUAGCUAUAGGGUCUCUUCCCCUUGAGCUGUGUUUUUAUGGUUGCCCUGUUUGGGUUGUUGUGUGAGUUGCUUACAGGUUUACAAUGAUUUGAUGGUGAUGUUUGGAGGAGGAACAGUGAUGGUGGAUCGCGGGGUCAUAUUAGGAAGCUAGCCUAGAAGGCCGGAACGGGAUGUUGAAGAAUGCCAUUGCUGUUUUGACCUCUGUGCCUAUUGUCUUUCUACAACCUCCGAAAGUGAUGAAGGUGGCACUGUUAGAUGUCUUUGGAAAUGUCUGGAAGAGGAGUUCCUUUGAAUUUUAUUUCACCGCUUCACCUUGAAUGGUUGGAGUUGUUAUCUUGAUGGGAUCUCUUUUGGUGCUGUUCGGGUGAGAUGAUCUGAGGACAUAAGGCAUUAAUUGAAGAAAUGACGCUAUGGAAGUGCCAUCUCUGGGUCGGAUAUCCAUUGUCCCUAAAGUUUCCAUUGUGUUUGAGUUUUGGGUUGUUUGACUCGUCUUAGAUUGGGUUCAUGUGAUCUUUUAUUAAGAAAAACUUGUUUAGAAUUAUCCUCUAUAAAACAAUUU